GAAAAAAAUUGAAGAAAAAUAUUUAGUUUUGCAAAACUUUAGUUUAUAUUUGACAUUAAACAUUUCAUUGUCAACAAAAUGUCUUUAUUUUUAUAACAAGAAACAAAUUAUAGUAGUUGAAAACCCAAAUAGAUUUUGUGCAGAAAUAUCAAACUGCAAUUUUCGGCAUGCGGAAGAGGAAAAUACACAGUUGUCACUGAAAGUUGUAUGUCCCAGUUAAUACCUAGUAUUCAUUCUACGAAAGUUUAUUCUUUGUAAUACUUUUGCAACAUUGCGGCACUGAUUCAUAAUAUCUGCACAAUAUUCAAGCCAAUUUGUAGGCAAACAGUAUGGAAUAUUAAUCUCAACGAAUGCAGCCACUGAAUUACGACAAUGUUGUGUCACAUUUUGAAGAGAUCGAACUAUUCAAAGCAAAACUAUCCGAAAAUACACAUAUGUGUAAAAUUUUAGCCUCGAUUUCGAACUAGUUCAAAAGAUACUACACGUAAUGAUUAGGUGCAUUGACCACGUGCCAAUCGGCGCGCAAAAGUUUGAAGCUUUGAAAUUUUCUGAAAACCAUGUUUUUAUAAUUGACGAGCAGGAUUGGAGGAAAAAUAUUUUUUAGAAUUUUUUAAUUUAGCGUAAUCGGCUCCAAAACUUUAAGCCCGAUAUUCGCGAAACGCUAGUUUCAGAGUCGGGGAAAAAACUUUCCCGAAUUGUGUGAUCGACUGGACCGAUCAACUAGAAGUUUUCGCACGACCUUCUUAGAAACGCUUGUACGGUAAUAACCGAAGGAUCCAAAUUCGUAGAUAACAAUUUCGAUUAUAAAGCAACUCUGAAGUGUAAAUUUUUCCAAAAAAAAAAAAAUUGUUUUGGAUGUGACCAUAUAGUUAAAAAAUAAAAUUCUGAUUAGUCCUUCGACCAUUAUCUACAUUCA